rnacentral:lncRNA from 1 species
UGCAUAUGCAGAUAGAUGUUCAAACAUCAGAAGCCAAUGUGGCAGUGACGAUUGAUUAUCUGCUUAAUUUAUACUGUCAGGUGAGCCAACGGGACUGUUGUGCCAUGUCAUAUCGCUGGUUCCCCAUUUCCUGGUACGUCCUUCUUUAUUGCCCAAACAUAUGAGAUAUGGAGGAUAGCUGUUUGUAUAAAGGAAAGAAAGGGUGGAGGAAACCAAAUAUGAUAAUGGGUAGG